CUCUAAAUUACCUGAUGCUCAGGCGGCUUAUGAGGCGGCUAAUACUCUGCAAACGUCUGCUCUAGCCGGAGUUAACUUUAUG
rnacentral:ncRNA from 1 species